GAUGAACGCUGGCGGCGUGCCUAAUACAUGCAAGUCGAGCGAACGGACGAGAAGCUUGCUUCUCUGAUGUUAGCGGCGGACGGGUGAGUAACACGUGGAUAACCUACCUAUAAGACUGGGAUAACUUCGGGAAACCGGAGCUAAUACCGGAUGAUAUUUUGAACCGCAUGGUUCAAAAGUGAAAGACGGUCUUGCUGUCACUUAUAGAUGGAUCCGCGCUGCAUUAGCUAGUUGGUAAGGUAACGGCUUACCAAGGCAACGAUGCAUAGCCGACCUGAGAGGGUGAUCGGCCACACUGGAACUGAGACACGGUCCAGACUCCUACGGGAGGCAGCAGUAGGGAAUCUUCCGCAAUGGGCGAAAGCCUGACGGAGCAACGCCGCGUGAGUGAUGAAGGUCUUCGGAUCGUAAAACUCUGUUAUUAGGGAAGAACAUAUGUGUAAGUAACUGUGCACAUCUUGACGGUACCUAAUCAGAAAGCCACGGCUAACUACGG
rnacentral:rRNA from 1 species